rnacentral:rRNA from 1 species
GUAGCGAACAGGAUUAGAUACCCUGGUAGUCCACACCGUAAACGCUGUCUACUAGCUGUGUGUGUCUUUAAGACGUGCGUAGCGAAGCUAACGCGCUAAGUAGACCGCCUGGGGAGUACGGCCGCAAGGUUAAAACUCAAAUGAAUUGACGGGGGCCCGCACAAGCGGUGGAGCAUGUGGUUUAAUUCGACAACACGAAGAACCUUACCAGG